CGGGACGGGCGGCUGCGGUGGCGGCGGGUGGACCGAUUGUGGCUCGGCGGCGGGAGUCGAAAUGCUGGUUAUUUCAGUCACUUGCCGAUGACUUCUGAUGUCCCAGCAAAUGGCAUUGUUGACUGCUGAGAAGAUACUUCUGAGGACCCACGUCUAAGGUGGACUUGGCUCGCACUCUUCUAGUUAGUCUCUGAACAGGAGUGAUGCCUCCAGGCAGGUGGCAUGCUGUCUAUCCAGCUCAGGCCCAGUCUUCGAGGGAGCGAGGGCGGCUUCAGACAGUAAAGAAGGAAGAAGAGGAUGAAAGCUAUACUCCAGUGCAGCCUGCCAGGCCACAGACACUCAACCGCCCUGGCCAGGAGCUGUUCCGCCAGCUCUUCAGACAGCUUCGUUACCAUGAGUCUUCGGGGCCCCUAGAAACUCUGAGCCGGCUCCGGGAACUCUGUCGCUGGUGGCUGAGGCCUGACGUUCUCUCCAAGUCACAGAUCCUAGAGCUGCUGGUGCUAGAACAGUUCCUGAGCAUCCUGCCUGGGGAACUCCGGGUGUGGGUGCAGCUCCAUAACCCUGAGAGUGGCGAGGAGGCUGUGGCCUUGCUGGAGGAGCUGCAGAGGGACCUUGAUGGGACAUCAUGGAGGGUGAGUGUGAGCAAGUGUGUGGUGUCCAGGGAACUCUGCCUGCUGGUGAGCCAGCUUGUCUGGGGAUGGAGGUGGCCCUCUGAACUGUCAAUACAGAGGAGUGCAGAGGAAGCCUUCCCUUUUCCCAUGGUACCUGAGCAUCUGAGAACGGGACCCUGAGCAAUGGACCCUUUAGCAGGUAUCCUUUCCUACCUCCCCAGAGGAAUAUCAGCUCCAGAUAGGGUGAGCAAGUCUCCAUAAA
rnacentral:sRNA from 1 species